CAAAAGAACAUUAAUGACCAUGUGCCCACUGGAGUACUGCAUUUUUCUUGAAAACAGACUUGCUUGUUUGGAGAUUGGCCAUGAUACCAGGCAGUCACUUCUUAAAAAAUUUAAAAUGACAGGGACUCAAAGACAAGAAAAAACUGCGAGGAAAGCAGCAUGGAAUCUUUACAGAGAUGCCACAAGAAAAAAAGAAAAAGAGAAACAAAAGGUAAAUGAAAAACAAACAAUCAAACCUCAUUAGAAGACAGGCUAAAGAAGAAAUGGGACAAAAAUUAAGAAUUAAAGAGAAUUAGAAAGAACGUACAAGAAAUCUGAAAUGUCCUUUGCUGUUAUCUCUGAAUAAAAGAACCAAAAUGAGGAACAGAAAACCUAUGAACAAUACAGUUGAAGAACAUUUUGUAGAAAAAAAAGUUGGAUCUACAGAAUGAUGGACCAUACAUAUCCUCAAGAAAUUAACAGAAAAUAAUUGUAGUUGAGUUGAAGAACAUUUUGUAGAAAAAAAAGUUGGAUCUACAGAAUGACAGACCAUACGUAUCCUCAAGAAAUUAACCGAAAAUAAUUGUAGUUGAGAUAUAGCCCAGUAAAAUUACUGAAUUCUAAAGAUAAAACUAUUUGCCUAAACAGAAAUGUAAAAGUCAAGUUCCUUAUAAUGCAGUAAAAUUUAUUUAAUUUUAUAGUUACCCAUAGCAACAGUCAGGACAAAAAAAAUGACGUCUAUGAAAUUCUUAAAAAAUAGCUUUAAAAAGUGUGUCAGAGUUUGAACGAAGCAAACAAAAUGUCUAUAAAGGCAGCAGAUAAAUAGUUUUUGAACAUGUAAGAAAUCAAUGAAUACAGUUUCCAUGGUCUUUGAUGAAAUCAUGAUGCUAAAAUCCAGCCAAUAAUAAAUUUGAUAAAGACUGGCAAUGAGCAUUGAUCCAAUUAAAUGAAGGAUAAAAAAGUAAAAUAAGUAUGAGAGCUACAGUUUUAAAACAGAAUGUGAGUUACAAGCCUUGACAAUGUAAAAAUUACAUAUCUUUAAAAGGCUGAACUUGGGAAGAGGGAAGAGAAGAAAAGGGGGGAGAGCUCCCAUUAUACCUGCUGGCUUCAUCUUUUAAGUGUCUAUUUGAAGUCAUAAUAUUACAGCAAAGAGAGCCAUAUCUUCAUUUGAUCUGUGUACAAUAUUAGUUUCUUGAGAAGUCAAUACUUGGAGGAAGCAUUCCUAGGAAGUCAGAAUCUUCUUAGGUAUUUCCUAGGAUGGAAGUUACCUAACAUUUGUUGCACACUUACAAUGCAUAUAUUAUCUCAACUCUACUAAAAGAGGUGCAUUGUUAUCUGUCCAUUUUCUUAAGCAUUUUAAUAACCACAGGGGACCUUUGGCCGUGGCAGAUCUAGGAUGAAAACUUCAGUGAUUUGACAGCAAAUCCUACGCUUCUUCUACUAUACUGUACUGGUCUUUCAAACCAUAAAGAAUGAAGAGCCUAACACAUUUGUUCAGCUAGAAGACUACACCAUGUUUGCAUUUCCAAGGAGUUAAAAGAAGUUAACUAUAAAGCUUGUAAAAUAUUAAAUCUAAAUAUCACACUGAGCCUUGAAUUACUCUUUAAGUAACAUCCCUGUGCUGUAAAAAUCCAUUUGCAAUAAAUUUUCAUA